ensembl:lncRNA LINC00508 long intergenic non-protein coding RNA 508
GGCAUCUGUAUACCAGCCAUCACUUCAGCAUCCCAGACAGGACAAGAAGGAAGUCUUUGAGUAUGCUCAGCGCGUGCCAUCAUGGGGCCAUGUUCUUCCCCUUUGCUCUUGGAGAAUAGACAAAGCUACCCAGCCCAGCCACAGCCUCAUAAUCUUGUUCUACCUCCCUCUCCAGCCUCAACUAUUUCCAGGCU